GUGAGGAAUUUUGCGCAAUGGCCGCAAGGCUGACGCAGCAACGCCGCGUGGGUGAUGAAGGCCUUCGGGUCGUAAAGCCCUGUCAGGUGGGAAGAAUGGCCUUAAGGAGAAAGACUUGAGGUUUGACGGUACCACCAGAGGAAGCACCGGCUAACUCCGUGCCAGCAGCCGCGGUAAUACGGAGGGUGCGAGCGUUAUUCGGAAUUACUGGGCGUAAAGCGCGUGUAGGCGGGGGGACAAGGCUGAUGUGAAAGCCCUGGGCUUAACCUGGGAAGCGCAUUGGAAACUGUUUUUCUUGAGUACUGGAGAGGAAGGGGGAAUUCCCGGUGUAGAGGUGAAAUUCGUAGAGAUCGGGAGGAAUACCAGUGGCGUAGGCGCCCUUCUGGACGGUAACUGACGCUGAGACGCGAAAGCGUGGGGAGCAAACAGGAUUAGAUACCCGUGUAGUCC
rnacentral:rRNA from 1 species